rnacentral:rRNA from 1 species
AUGAACGCUGGCGGCGUGCCUCAUACAUGCAAGUCGAGCGAACGGACGAGAAGCUUGCUUCUCUGAUGUUAGCGGCGGACGGGUGAGUAACACGUGGAUAACCUACCUAUAAGACUGGGAUAACUUCGGGAAACCGGAGCUAAUACCGGAUAAUAUUUUGAACCGCAUGGUUCAAAAGUGAAAGACGGUCUUGCUGUCACUUAUAGAUGGAUCCGCGCUGCAUUAGCUAGUUGGUAAGGUAACGGCUUACCAAGGCAACGAUGCAUAGCCGACCUGAGAGGGUGAGCGGCCACACUGGAACUGAGACACGGUCCAGACUCCUACGGGAGGCAGCAGUAGGGAAUCUUCCGCAAUGGGCGAAAGCCUGACGGAGCAACGCCGCGUGAGUGAUGAAGGUCUUCGGAUCGUAAAACUCUGUUAUUAGGGAAGAACAUAUGUGUAAGUAACUGUGCACAUCUUGACGGUACCUAAUCAGAAAGCCACGGCUAACUACGUG